AAGUCGUAACAAGGUCUCCGUAGGUGAACCUGCGGAGGGAUCAUUAAUGAGAACUUGCCCCUCGGGGUAGAUCUCCCAUCCUUUGUAUACUAUACCAUUGUUGCUUUGUCUGGCCCGACUCUCGGGUCCGCCGGCCUCCGGGCUGGUCAGCGCCGGACAGAGGAAACCCAAACCUUUUUUAAUUGUCGUCUGAGUACUAUAUAAUAGUUAAAACUUUCAACAACGGAUCUCUUGGCUCUG
rnacentral:misc_RNA from 1 species